rnacentral:rRNA from 1 species
GAUGAACGCUGGCGGCGUGCUUAACACAUGCAAGUCGAACGAUGAAGCCCAGCUUGCUGGGUGGGUUAGUGGCGAACGGGUGAGUAACACGUGAGUAACCUGCCCUUGACUCUAGGAUAAGCCCGGGAAACUGGGUCUAAUACUGGAUAGGAACGUCUACCGCAUGGUGGGUGUUGGAAAGAAUUUCGGUCAUGGAUGGACUCGCGGCCUAUCAGCUUGUUGGUGAGGUAAUGGCUCACCAAGGCGACGACGGGUAGCCGGCCUGAGAGGGUGACCGGCCACACUGGGACUGAGACACGGCCCAGACUCCUACGGGAGGCAGCAGUGGGGAAUAUUGCACAAUGGGCGAAAGCCUGAUGCAGCGACGCCGCGUGAGGGAUGACGGCCUUCGGGUUGUAAACCUCUUUCAGUAGGGAAGAAGCGAAAGUGACGGUACCUGCAGAAGAAGCACCGGCUAACUACGUG